AGUGAUCAGAAGUGAGAAUGUUGACAUGAGUAGCGACAAACAGGGUGAGAGACCCUGUCGCCGAAAGUCCAAGGGUUCCUGCUUAAAGCUAAUCUGAGCAGGGUAAGCCGGCCCCUAAGGCGAGGCCGAAAGGCGUAGUCGAUGGGAACCAGGUUAAUAUUCCUGGGCCAGGAGAUGGUGACGGAUCGCAGAGGUAGUUCUUCCUUAUCGGAUUGGAAGGGCUGCUGAGUGGUUCCUGGAAAUAGCCCUCCAUGAGACCGUACCCUAAACCGACACAGGUGGACUGGUAGAGAAUACCAAGGCGCUUGAGAGAACCACAUUUAAGGAACUCGGCAAAAUACCUCCGUAAGUUCGCGAGAAGGAGGCCCCGUUUGUACGCAAGUAUGGGCGGGGGGCACAAACCAGGGGGUGGCGACUGUUUACUAAAAACACAGGGCUCUGCGAAGCCGUAAGGCGACGUAUAGGGUCUGACGCCUGCCCGGUGCCGGAAGGUUAAAAGGAGAUGUGCAAGCAUUGAAUUGAAGCCCCGGUAAACGGCGGCCGUAACAAUAACGGUCCUAAGGUAGCGAAAUUCCUUGUCGGGUAAGUUCCGACCUGCACGAAUGGCGUAACGACUUCCCCGCUGUCUCAAAUGUGGACUCAGCGAAAUUGAAUUGUCUGUGAAGAUGCAGACUUCCCGCGGUUAGACGGAAAGACCCCAUGCACCUUUACUAUAGCUUCGCACUGGCAUCAGGAUUGUGAUGUGCAGGAUAGGUGGUAGGCAUUGAAACCGGGACGCCAGUUCCGGUGGAGCCAUCCUUGAGAUACCACCCUUCGCACUCUUGAUGUCUAACCGCGGCCCGUUAUCCGGGUCCGGGACCCUGCGUGGUGGGUAGUUUGACUGGGGCGGUCGCCUCCCAAAGAGUAACGGAGGCGCGCGAAGGUUGGCUCAGAGCGGUCGGAAAUCGCUCGUUGAGUGCAAUGGCAGAAGCCAGCCUGACUGCAAGACUGACAAGUCGAGCAGAGACGAAAGUCGGCCAUAGUGAUCCGGUGGUCCCGAGUGGAAGGGCCAUCGCUCAACGGAUAAAAGGUACGCUGGGGAUAACAGGCUGAUGAUGCCCAAGAGUCCAUAUCGACGGCAUCGUUUGGCACCUCGAUGUAGGCUCAUCUCAUCCUGGGGCUGGAUCAGGUCCCAAGGGUAUGGCUGUUCGCCAUUUAAAGAGGUACGUGAGCUGGGUUUAGAACGUCGUGAGACAGUUCGGUCCCUAUCUGCCGUGGGUGUAGGAUACUUGAGAGGAGUUGCCCCUAGUACGAGAGGACCGGGGUGAACGUUCCACUGGUGGACCAGUUGUCGUGCCAACGGCAGUGCUGGGUAGCUAUGAACGGACAGGAUAAACGCUGAAGGCAUCUAAGCGUGAAGCCCCCCUCAAAACAAGGUAUCCCUUGAGAGCCGUGGAAGACCACCACGUCGAUAGGCCGGAGAUGUAAGCGCAGCAAUGCGUUCAGUUGACCGGUACUAAUGGCUC
rnacentral:rRNA from 1 species